ACGUUUUCCUUGUGUCUGCGUGGGCUUCCGCCCACAGUCAAAGAUGUACAAGCUAAGUGGAUUUGCUGUCAGGUAGGCAGCUGGGUCUGGGUGGGAUGCUCACUGAGUCCAUGACCCGGGCUUCAGAACAUGAGACUCGCUGCCUCCACGCACUGGCCUCCAUCCAGGACUGGUCCCCGGCUGCGAUUUGGCUUCCAACUCAGCCUGGGCUCGCUUUGCUCCCUCUCCAGCUCUGGCCGUGACUAGGCUCCCAGUUUGGUACUCACUCUGCUCGCUCUCUACCGUGACUCGCUUCCAGGACUCAGCCCCUCAGACUCCAUUCUCCAUUCCCUCCAGAUAUUUCACUGACAGAAAAUCAGUACACACUGUAAAGGUUUCCAGCACUCAAAAAUAUUCCAGCAUCCACAGUACUUUGCCUUCUUUCGUCUGUUUCUGGGGAACAGUAUCUCUCCCUGCCU